rnacentral:rRNA from 1 species
ACGCGAAGGGGCUUCGGCCCUGGGUAGAGUGGCGAACGGGUGAGUAACACGUGGGUGACCUACCUUCGAAUGGGGGAUAACGUCCCGAAAGGGGCGCUAAUACCGCAUAACAUCCUGCCUUUGAAGAGGCGGAGAUCAAAGCUGGGGAUCGCAAGACCUGGCGUUUGAAGAGGGGCCCGCGUCCGAUUAGCUAGUUGGUGAGGUAAUGGCUCACCAAGGCAACGAUCGGUAGCCGGCCUGAGAGGGCGGACGGCCACACUGGGACUGAGACACGGCCCAGACUCCUACGGGAGGCAGCAGUGGGGAAUUGUUCGCAAUGGGCGCAAGCCUGACGACGCAACGCCGCGUGGAGGAUGAAGGUCUUCGGAUUGUAAACUCCUGUUGCCCGGGACGAACGCUCUCGACCUAACACGUCGAGAGGUGACGGUACCGGGUGAGGAAGCCCCGGCUAACUCUGUGCCGGCAGCCGCGGUAAUACAGAGGGGGCAAGCGUUGUUCGGAAUUACUGGGCGUAAAGGGCGCGUAGGCGGCCUGCUAAGUCGAACGUGAAAUCCCCGGGCUCAACCCGGGAACUGCGUUCGAUACUGGUUGGCUUGAAUUCGGGAGAGGGAUGCGGAAUUCCAGGUGUAGCGGUGAAAUGCGUAGAUAUCUGGAGGAACACCGGUGGCGAAGGCGGCAUCCUGGACCGGCAUUGACGCUGAGGCGCGAAAGCCAGGGGAGCAAACGGGAUUAGAUACCCCGGUAGUCCUGGCCCUAAACGAUGA